rnacentral:rRNA from 1 species
UACGUAGGGUGCAAGCGUUGUCCGGAAUUAUUGGGCGUAAAGAGCUCGUAGGCGGUCUGUCGCGUCGGCUGUGAAAUCCCGAGGCUCAACCUCGGGUCUGCAGUCGAUACGGGCAAACUAGAGUAUUGCAGGGGAGACUGGAAUUCCUGGUGUAGCGGUGAAAUGCGCAGAUAUCAGGAGGAACACCGGUGGCGAAGGCGGGUCUCUGGGCCAGUACUGACGCUGAGACGCGAAAGCGUGGGGAGCGAACAGG